rnacentral:rRNA from 1 species
UACGUAGGGUGCGAGCGUUGUCCGGAAUUACUGGGCGUAAAGAGCUCGUAGGUGGUUUGUCGCGUUGUUCGUGAAAACUCACAGCUCAACUGUGGGCGUGCGGGCGAUACGGGCAGACUGGAGUACUGCAGGGGAGACUGGAAUUCCUGGUGUAGCGGUGGAAUGCGCAGAUAUCAGGAGGAACACCGGUGGCGAAGGCGGGUCUCUGGGCAGUAACUGACGCUGAGGAGCGAAAGCGUGGGGAGCGAACCGG